AUUGAACGCUGGCGGCAUGCCUAACACAUGCAAGUCGAACGGCAGCACGGCAGUAGCAAUACUGUGGGUGGCGAGUGGCGGACGGGUGAGGAAUACGUCGGAAUCUGCCCAGUCGUGGGGGAUAACUAGCCGAAAGGUUAGCUAAUACCGCAUACGACCGAGAGGUGAAAGCGGGGGACCGCAAGGCCUCGCGCGAUUGGAUGAGCCGACGUCGGAUUAGCUAGUUGGUGGGGUAAAGGCCCACCAAGGCGACGAUCCGUAGCUGGUCUGAGAGGAUGACCAGCCACACUGGAACUGAGACACGGUCCAGACUCCUACGGGAGGCAGCAGUGGGGAAUAUUGGACAAUGGGCGCAAGCCUGAUCCAGCAAUGCCGCGUGUGUGAAGAAGGCCUUCGGGUUGUAAAGCACUUUUAUCAGGAACGAAAAGCGUUGGAUUAAUACUCUGACGUGCUGACGGUACCUGAGGAAUAAGCACCGGCUAACUUCGUG
rnacentral:rRNA from 1 species